GAGGAAUAUUGGGCAAUGCCCGCAAGGGUGACCCAGCAACGCCGCGUGGAGGAUGAAUGUCGUAAGAUUGUAAACUCCUGUUAGAGGGGAAGAAUAGUACCGGUUGGACCGGUAUAUGACUGUACCCUCAGAGAAAGCCCCGGCUAACUACGUGCCAGCAGCCGCGGUAAUACGUAGGGGGCAAGCGUUGUCCGGAUUUACUGGGUGUAAAGGGCGCGCAGGCGGGAUAAAAAGUCAGUGGUGAAAUCCUACAGCUUAACUGUAGAACUGCCUUUGAUACGUUUAUUCUUGAGUUCGGGAGAGAGAGACGGAAUUCCAGGUGUAGUGGUGAAAUACGUAGAUAUCUGGAAGAACACCAGUUGCGAAGGCGGUCUCUUGGUACGACACUGACGCUGAGGCGCGAAAGCGUGGGGAGCAAACA
rnacentral:rRNA from 1 species